CCUACGGGGGGCAGCAGUGAGGAAUAUUGGUCAAUGGACGAGAGUCUGAACCAGCCAAGUAGCGUGAAGGAUGACUGCCCUAUGGGUUGUAAACUUCUUUUAUAUGGGAAUAAAAUGUUCCACGUGUGGGAUUUUGUAUGUACCAUAUGAAUAAGGAUCGGCUAACUCCGUGCCAGCAGCCGCGGUAAUACGGAGGAUCCGAGCGUUAUCCGGAUUUAUUGGGUUUAAAGGGAGCGUAGGUGGAUUGUUAAGUCAGUUGUGAAAGUUUGCGGCUCAACCGUAAAAGUGCAGUUGAAACUGGCAGUCUUGAGUACAGUAGAGGUGGGCGGAAUUCGUGGUGUAGCGGUGAAAUGCUUAGAUAUCACGAAGAACUCCGAUUGCGAAGGCAGUUCACUGGACUGCAACUGACACUGAGGCUCGAAAGUGUGGGUAUCAAACAGGAUUAGAUACCCGAGUAGUC
rnacentral:rRNA from 1 species